rnacentral:rRNA from 1 species
UACGUAGGCAGCAAGCGUUGUUCGGAAUUACUGGGCGUAAAGAGUGUGUAGGCGGUGCUCUAAGUCUGGUGUGAAAUCUCCCGGCUCAACUGGGAGGGUGCGCCGGAAACUGGAGUGCUAGAGUAUGGGAGAGGUAAGCGGAAUUCCUGGUGUAGCGGUGAAAUGCGUAGAUAUCAGGAGGAACACCUGUGGUGUAGACAGCUUACUGGACCAUCACUGACGCUGAGACACGAAAGCGUGGGUAGCAAACAGG